GCUAGCAGAUGCAGAUAGUCUGCAGAGGGCUCUGAGUACCUAGCGAUGGUGGAGUCACAAGAUGGAAGGCGCCUGGUUGGAUUCCUGAGGAACUGUGCAGAAGGUCAUCUGCUGAAUGCCACACUCUACUCUUGAUCCGAGGGUGGUAAUAAAAGAUGGCUGCACGGCUCUCCCCGGGAAACUGAACAGGAGCCAAACCAUCAUGUGGUGAACAAAUGCUGUGAUCGCUCAACUGCAGAGCUGCUGCUGCACCAUAUUAAAAAGGUGACAACCUCUCCUCUGACCCCUGAACCAUGGAAAUGGGCAGUCACCAGCCCACCCACUCAGAAAGCCCCAAUGCUCUGUCACCAGCAGAGGCCCAACACCCACUCCGACA
rnacentral:lncRNA from 1 species